CAUUUGAUCAAGAUAUACAUUUUUCUUUUGAAGUUUUGGAAUAAAACAAUCAAUUGCUUCAGAAUUGUUUAUAAGCCAAUUUAGAGGUGAGGUUAUCUACUUCGCUGUUGGCUAUUUAGAAAAGUUGGAACAAAUAUUUAAAAGGAGGGGUUUUAUCCAACUGGAAUUUUCUAACUGUGCGGUAUCUUACUUGUCCUCUAUACAACGUGAUGGAGAGGGAGGAGUUUUCGGUCUCCUCGCCAUAGGAUUGUAAGCGGUUGUUAUUGAGCGUCUCGGUCCAGUCUAGCUGUUCUCAUCCGGACACCCAUGAGACUCAGGCAGGCACCGUAAAAGCUUUACAGUGGGCUAGAAGGCUAUCUACAGAACUUCUGAUGGUGACGACACUCGGCGGGGCAAUUGUAGGAUUGUAAACAGUGCGCUUUUAGACAGUGUUCUUAAAUGGAUGGAGACGUCAUGGACCUCAGAGGAACACAAUAACAUUUGGAAAGUUUCACCAAAUGCCCUCUUGGUACUCAGAUGACUUUUUAAUCUAGGCGGCAAUUCUGAUUUCGUUUUCACAUUUUCAGAUUUCGUUUUUUUUUAUGAUUCCAUUGUGCCACAGAGAGAAUGACCGCUUUCACCCCGUGCAUAAAUUAACUGAAUUAUUGUACGAGCUACUGCGUGGAGACAAGUUAAUGUUUAACUUCUGAGUUCUUAGAUUUCUUGGUGGGGGGCCAACGCGAACUGGAAAUGGGAGCGUGCCUUUGCUGUGCCUUGUAAGUUUUUACAGCCUGGUGCCAAGGGACAACAACAACAACAACAUGGGUAGCGGUAGUAGUCGAGGAAAGAAGGUUGCUCCUUCCAGUGUCAACGAGAUAAACUCAUUCAGAAGAGAUGACAACACAGUCCACGUUUUGAAAGAGGAAAGACACUUGUUCAAACCAUUGAAAAUAACCAAAUCUACGAAUUUAAGUCAGUCACGAAAUAGAGCGCAACACGACUGCCACAGUGAAGGACACGAUUCUGAAUUUUCCGUAGAGGAUGAUGACAUUGAUGUGGAACUGAAUCGAGUUCUACAGGAAUAUGACAAUCGGGAAUUGCGUUCCAAGAGGAAAACGUAUCAAACGAAACCUUUCAUCAGGUCUAAUACAUAUGGGUUAUGUCAUUCCAGUCGAGUCCACAAUGAAAGCGUUUUCAAUUCAACCCCACACUGGCAGAGUUCUGAAUUGUCGGAGGGGAGUGGGGCAUGUUGUCCAGAUAACGGUUCUGUUGGAGUCAAGGACAAGAAAGGCAUCCCAGUCUUCAACCAGUUUUGCAAAAAUACACAAAUUCAGUUCUCAAGCGGCGCUCAGGAAAAUGACUUGUUGACAACGGGGUCAGCUUGUGUGGAGUCAGUGCCUCGAGCAGAAACAGACUCAGUCCUGGACGAUGGCAAUGGCCCCUCUCUCUCCAUGCCUGUUAUUCUGUACGAUGGAUCAGAAGUGGACCUGAUGGAGACCAUAGAGAGAGAGUUUAGUUGACCUCACAGGAGAGACUAAAAUAGCAGGAUAACUUUUUAACCAAAUAUUUGUUUUUUGAAUGAAUGAAUGGUGGAUGUGCAUAAUGAUGGAGGAAUUCAGAUAUGAUGCCAUUGUUUUAGCACUACCCACAGAUUAAGUAACUGGCCAGUAUUUCCAAAUGUAUAUGAAAUAGGACCUAUAAUUAACUACAAUAGGAAUUUAAUAAUUUUCCUUAAAAAAACUGGCAAUUAAGUAUGUUAAAAAGCAGUUUUUCUGUGUUGGAAUGGUGUUGGCGUACUCCAACAACAGAAUGGUGUGGGCGUAUACCAUUCAUUAAAAAUGUUAAGGCGAGUAGACUGCUGAUUGCCCAGCUGACAUCUUCCUCUAUGAGGAAAUAGCAACAAAAUAAAUGUAAACGGUCUGUUUGAGGUGGUUUUUUUCCCAAUUUAUGCUUUGGCCAAAAAUAAGAGUAUAGAAUGAGUGAACAACAUUAUUUGAGUUAAGAGAAUAUUAACUUUUAAAAGUGAGAUUUCCACAGGAUAGUUACUUUAAACUAGGAUAUGUGACAUGGUUCAAUGUGCCACUAAAUCAGCACAAUCUACUUUUUAGUUUUUUCCAAUUGCCGCCAUCUUGGAGCUACAAUCGGGAUCAAGUUUACUGUGCUAAAGCAGAUACAAAAAAAGAGUAAUAGAGACCAUUAUACAAUAUAGCAAACUCUUUUAUGCAUGUCCACUAUUGAUCAAAUCAAAUUUUAUUUUUCACAUGUUUCAUAAAAACAGCAAUGCAGAGAGAAAAAUCGAGAAAAAAAAUAUAUAUAUUUAACACAAGGAAUAAAUACACAGUGAGUGAUGAUAACUUGGCUACAUACAUGGGGUACCAGUACUGAGUCGAUGUGCAGGGGUACGAGGUAAUUGAGGUAGAUAUGUACAGUUCAUAUAGGUAGGGUCAGUGUUUUAUUCGAGACUGAGUCAAGACCGAGACCAGAAAAAUGACAGUACAAUUCAAGACCAUGAUUGUAAUUGUGUAAAAUCGGCACCAUAAUACAAGUUAAAAAUGUCCAGUAAUUCUGUGUUCCUAUUUCAGAAGAACAUAUGGAUUCUUUAGAACAGGGAUUCGUAAACUUUUUCAGCCUGGGACCGAAAUGAGAAAUGCUGUGUUUUCCUGGGACCCAAACUUAUGAAAACAUGCCCCCUUUUCGAGAUCCUAAGUGAGAUUUGUUUGGGGCGGGCACCCCACCUCACGGGCAAACAUUUUUAGUGGCCCUUCUCUUGACUGCAUAGAGAAAAAAGUUUUAAAGUUAAUUUCCAGCAAUUCUACACAUUCGGCAAUUGGGAGAGAAAAUGCUGCAGUGUUAAAGCACGUGUUCUGCACGUCUGAACAUUUUGCCAUGAGAGGGAGAAAGCAUUUAGAAAUUUUAUAAAACAUUUCAUGCAAUUCUACUCAUUUUGCCAUGUGGCAGAGAUAAGAAAAUUGCAUUUUUAAAGCUAAUUUCCUGCAAUUCUACACAUUGGGCCAUGACUUAUGCCUUGUUAAUAUAAUAUCUGAGUGAGAGUGACUAACAAAAUCAAUGUGGGCCCCCAGUAGGUCAGGGCCCAUGGGCACAUGCCCUGCUUGUCCGGUCGGUAUUCGUCCAUGAAAGCUACAAGUUUAGAUAGCUGGCUAGACUAACUUACCAAUCUAAAAAUUGUUAGCUGAGAUGGCUAAUUGAGUGACAAACAUAAAAAGAGAAAAGCUGCUGAUGCACAACCAAAUUUCAAAAUUUCACCUUGUGUAUUCUACUAUUCUACAUGAAAUGUGUGGUCCUUUGUAGCUCAGUUGGUAGAGCAUGGGGCUUGUAAGGGUAGGCAGUUCAAUUCCCAGGACCACCCAUAGAUAAAAUGUAUGCACCCAUGACUGUGAGUCACUUUGGAUAAAGGCUUCUGCUAAAUGGCAUAUUUUCUAACUCUCAACAGUAAUUUGAGACCCUGACUCCCUACUAAUAAAAAAAAACAACUGCAACCCAUACUUUAAGAAAGGCUGCUUUAGACAUUCAGAAUGGUGAAAAAAUGCCUGCUGAGUGCAAAUAGGGAGCCACUCUACAAAUCAUCACUAACCCAAACAGAUCUAUAAUAGAUAAAAAUACAACUUCCUCCGGUCUCCCCUUACUAAUAGUGAGGACACAACUUUAAAUCAUUCCCCCCACUCUUCCCUACCAGCGAAUUAAGGAAGUUCUGACGAGCGCGACAAAGUUUGAGGAUAUUUUUCAACAAAAGUUAAGGACAGUAAUGUUACGAGUAAAGUAGGAAGCCCUGGUUUCGAUAGGUGAUAAGAUAUUGUCAUAAAAGGGGUGUGGAUAUUUGGCCUGGCAAAGCGGCUUUAUGCGCUGACUGAAUGGGAGCCGAAAUUCUGAAGGUUUUACUCUACUGGUCUCGUCUGGUCUCAGGAAGAAAUUACAAGUCCUCAUUGUCCGAGACCAAGUCAAGACCGAAUAAAUAAGUAUCAGACACAGAGAUUAGACGAAGAGACUCAAUAUCUGGUCUUGAGUACUACAACACUGGGUAGGGGUAAAGUGACUAUAGGCAAAAGGAUAAAUAAUAAACAGUAGCAGCAGCGUAUGUGAUGAGUCAAAAGAGCAAAAAGGGUGAAUGAAGAUAGUCCGGGUAGCUAUUUGGUUAACUAAUUAUCAGUCCUAUGGCUUGGAGGUAGAAGCUGUUCAGGGUACUGUUGGUUACAGACUUGGUGCAUCUGUACCGCUUGCUGUGCGGUAGCAGGGAGAACAGCCUAUGACAUGGGUGUCUGGAGUCUUUGACAAUUUUUAGGGCCUUCCUUUGACACCGCCUGGUAUAGAGGUCCUGAAUGGCAGGGAGCUCGGCCUCAGUGAUGUACUGGGUCGUACGCAUUGCUCUCUGUAGCGCCUUGCGGUCAGAUGCCAAACAGUUGCCAUACCAAGUGGUGAUGCAGCCAAUCAAGAUGCUCUCAAUGGUGUAGCUGUGGGACUUUUAGAGGAUCUGAGGGCCCAUGCCAAAUAUUUUCAGCCUCCUGAGAUCGAAGAGGCAUUGUCGUGCCUUCUCCACGACUGUUGGUGUGUGUGAACCAUGUUAAUUAAUUCUUUAGUGAUGUGGGCACAGAGGAACUUUAAGCUCUUGAUUAGUGCCAUAUUGACGCAGAUUUAUAUAUAUAUAUAUAUACACACACACUGUACCAGUCAAAGGUUUGGACACACCUAAUCAUUCAAAGGUUUUUCUUUAAUUGUACUAUUUUAUACAUUGUAGAAUAAUAGUGAAGACAUCAAAACUAUGAAAUAACACAUAUGGAAUCAUGUAGUAAAAAUGUGCAGCACUCUAUCACUCUCCUUCUUGGUCAAAUAGCCCUUACACAGCCUGGAGGUGUGUUUUGGGUCAUUGUCCUGUUGAUAAACAAAUGAUAGUCCCACUAAGCGCAAACCAGAUGGGAUGGCGUAUUGCUGCAGAAUGCUGCGGUAGCCAUGAUGGUUGUGUGCCUUGAAUUCUAAAUAAAUCACAUACAGUCACUAGCAAAGCACCUCCACACCAUCACACCUCCUCGUCCAUGCUUCACGAUGGGAACCACACAUGCGGAGAUCAUCCGUUUACCUACUCCACAUCUCACAAAGACACGGCAGUUGGAAACAAAAAAAAUCACAUUUGGACUCAUCAGACCAAAGGACAGAUUUCCACCAUUCUAAUAUGCAUUGCUCAUGUUUCUUGGCCCAAGCAAGUCUCUUCUUGUUAUUGGUGUCCUUUAGUAGUGGUUUCUUUGCAGCAAUUAGACCAGGAAGGCCAGAUUCACUCAGUUUCCUCUUAACAGUUGAUGUUGAGAUGUGUCUGUUACUUUAUUUGGGCUGAAAUCUGAGGUGCAGUUAACUCUAAUGAACCUACCCUCUGCAGAAUAGGUAACUGGGUCUUCCUUUCCUGUGGCGGUCCUCAUGAAAGCCUGUUUCAUCAAAGCGCUUGAUGGUUUUUGUGACUGCACUUGAAGAAAGUUGUUGACAUUUCCCGGAUUGACUGACCUUCAUGUCUUAAAGUAAUAAUGGACUGUCAUUUCUCUUUGCUUAUUUGAGCUGUUCUUACCAUAAUAUGUACUUGGUCUUUUAUCAAAUAGGGCUAACACAGCUGAUUGGCUCAAACGCAUUAAGAAGGAAAGAAAUUCCACAAAUUAACUUUUAACAAGGCACACCUGUUAAUUGAAAUGCAUUCCAGGUGACUACCUCAUGAAGCUGGUUGAGAGAAUGCCAAGAGUGUGCAAAGCUGUCAUCAAGGCAAAGGGUGGCUACUUUGAAGAAUCUCAAAUAUAAACAAAUCAAAAUAUAUUUUAACACUUUUUUGGUUACUACAAGAUUCCAUGUGUUAUUUCAUAGUUUUGAUGUUUUCACUAUUAUUCUACAAUUUAGAGAAGAAAAACCCUUGAAUGAGUAGGUGUGUGCAAACUUUUGACUGGUACUGUAUAUAUAAAUAAAUUAAAUACUGCAUUUGCAGCACCAUGCAGGGCUACAGACACCAACCAAUCUAAUAAACUAUUAAUUAUCUCCAUGGAUAUGUCUGUCAAUGGGUAAUAGACAGAAUCAUCCAGUGGUCUAUUCCAAUGUGGGAUUCAACAUCGUGUCAGCCCACAAAAUUGCUGCAGAAACAAUUCGGUCUUACAAAACAUUUGGCAUUGAGCAAUGUCCUUGUAGUUUUGUAGUCUUAAUGUUGCGAAUUUCAAAGUCUGGCAUUCUCUGGAUUUAUGGUGUUUUCAAAACAACUGGGAACUCGGAAACAAACAAGGCCGAAUCAUGAUGACGUCAUUGAUCUUCAAGUCGUAGCUCUAGAAAGAGGCCGGAUUUACUAUUCUGAGUUGGAUGACCGUUCAAAAUGUAUUUUCCCAGUCGGAGCUUGUUUAUUCCGAUUUCCCAGUCUAGAGUAAAACAGCUCAAAGACCACUUAUUUCAACAAGGCUUAUGGGCAUGCUAUAAUAGUUGAGCGAAAGGCAUGUUUUUCUCUCAAUGCCUACUUUUAAAAGGUAUGUGCUAGGGAUGUGUAUUUAAGUUUAAUUUCCUGACCAUAGUUCUUGCGGUGUUCCCACCCUUCUGAGGAAGGGUGGGGACAGUAUCCAGCAGGAUUUAGAGGGGCUGAAUGUGACACAUUCUUUGGCAUCUCACUUUCCACUGACAGAGAGAAAUCCAGUAAGAGAUAGUGAGUUGUACUUCCCCACUGUGGUGAGAAAAGUUAAUUGCAUCUGCACACAGAAGCACUUAAACAAUAUUUUGAAUUGGAAUUCUGAUACAUGUGUUUAAUUUCAAAUUAAAUAGUUGGAAUGAAUGAGGUACAGAUUUGCAAUGUGGUAUUGUAAUGGUGUAUUACAUCUGUCCUCUUGUAUUUCAUUCUGCUCAGCCUAUAUGUUCUAAUAAUGACAAUAGACAUUUUACAACACUGAAUUAAUAUUUGUUUUAUAUUGUACGUAAAUUCUAAAUGAUUGGUUUUACCCCUCACCUGUAAAGCUUUGAAUAAAUAAAUGGAAAUGCCAACUUGCCCACUAUUUACUAAAACUACAUACUGUGUACUAAUAGUACAACAUACUAUUUAC
rnacentral:lncRNA from 1 species